GUCUACGGCCAUGCCAACCUUUUACAAGCCCCAUCAUGUCAGAUCUCGGAAGCUAAGCAGGGUCGGGCCUGGUUAGUACUUGGAUGGAAGACCACCUAGGAAGACCAGGUGCUGUAGGCA
rnacentral:rRNA from 1 species